rnacentral:rRNA from 1 species
GAUGAACGCUGGCGGCGUGCCUAAUACAUGCAAGUCGAACGCUGAAGGAGGAGCUUGCUCUUCUGGAUGAGUUGCGAACGGGUGAGUAACGCGUUGGUAACCUGCCUGGUAGCGGGGGAUAACUAUUGGAAACGAUAGCUAAUACCGCAUGACAACAGUUAUUGCAUGAUAACUGUUUAAAAGGGGCAACUGCUCCACUACCAGAUGGACCUGCGUUGUAUUAGCUAGUUGGUGAGGUAACGGCUCACCAAGGCGACGAUACAUAGCCGACCUGAGAGGGUGAUCGGCCAAACUGGGACUGAGACACGGCCCAGACUGCUACGGGAGGCAGCAGUAGGGAAGCUUCGGCAAUGGACGGAAGGCUGACCGAGCAACGCCGCGUGAGUGAAGAAGGGUGUCGGAUCGUAAAGCUCUGUUGUAAGAGAAGAACGAGUGUGAGAGUGGAAAGUUCACACUGUGACGGUAUCUUACCAGAAAGGGACGGCUAACUACGUG